UGAAGUAGACCUAAGUAUUAGAUGUUAGUCUUGGACAUAAGAUUUAAAAAAGCGGAGAAAUUAAGUGAUCUAAUAUCGACAAUAAAAGUAAAACAAACCUUGAGUCAUAGCCAACAAACACCCGAGCUUCAGAACCGGGAAUAAUCUUUGCCUUUUUCAAAAUUGAAGUUAAACAAACCGUUAAUUCGUCAGCGGAAUCCGCAUUUACUACUUGAUCCAGGUAUGCUUCCCAUUUGCUAGAAUCCAGGCUACUCAAAAUGUUUACGAUCUUUAACCCGUUUUCGGAAGAGGCGUUGUGCGAGGCAGUCACCAUAACUAAGAUUGUUAGUAAGUAAACUCAAAGAAAUACAAAGGAACAAGAUGG